AAAACAUACAAAAUCUACUUAUAAGUAUGAUGUCUGAACUCCCCCUUCCCUUGGUGGUCGUUUGGUUGCUGGUUAGAGUUAUGCACGUAUUAGUUAUGCGUAAAAGAAAAACAUGAACCAAGCAUUGUAUUAGCAAUGCUACGUUUUACGUGAAAAGAGAAAAAAACAACCAAACUUUGUAUACUUUAUGCUAGAUUCUACAUGAGUAUUAUAUUUCCUCAUUUUGUAAUCAACCAACUUACAAAGUUAUGCUAGUUUUUAGUACAUGAAUAACUCCUCUUUUAUCUAGCAACCAAACAACCUCUGUACCACCCUAAAGUAGUAACAAAAAGGAUAAAAUAACAUAGGAAAUAUCCCUCUAGUGAACAGAAGAACA
rnacentral:misc_RNA from 1 species